GAGCUGUUUCCCAGAACGUGUCUCUUGUGUUAAGGUGCAUCUAGUGCAGUUAGUGAAGCAGCUCAGAAUCUACUGCCCUAAAUGCUCCUUCUGGCACAGGCUGCCUGACACACAGCAUUGGAAAA
rnacentral:precursor_RNA from 8 species